GGAGAUGUGCCUGCUGGGUUCCAACAAGGAGCGCAGAGGGGCGGGAAGCAUCCUACGGGGGGGGGGCCCCUCCUAGGAAAGGACACCAGGUCCCUGUGAAGGCUACGGAUGGUGAAAUCUGUCCUCCUCUCUUUCAGCUUCUGGUUUUCCUCCUCUUUUGUUUUUCCUAAUUCUAGUUUAGCCUCCACCCUGCAUCCAAGCCAAUGACCAAAGAGGCUUCGUUAUGACAUCGGAUCCUAAAAGGAGGCCGAGCUCUGGCUACCGGGUUCGGGAAUGAUCAUUGCCUAGGUGUAUGCUAAUCCCCUGAAUUCAUGCCUUCACGGCCCUUCUCUCCCUGCAGAACGAGGGGAAGACGCUAUAAACCACGACUGCAGAGGUGCUGGAGGCACGGAGAUGUGCCUGCUGGGUUCCAACAAGGAGCGCAGAGGGGCGGGAAGCAUCCUACGGAGGGGGGGGCCCCUCCUAGGAAAGGACACCAGGUCCCUGUGAAGGCUACGGAUGGUGAAAUCUGUCCUCCUCUCUUUCAGCUUCUGGUUUUCCUCCUCUUUUGUUCUUCCUAAUUCUAGUUUAGCCUCCACCCUGCAUCCAAGCCAAUGACCAAAGAGGCUUCGUUAUGACAUCGGAUCCUAAAAGGAGGCCGAGCUCUGGCUACCGGGUUCGGGAAUGAUCAUUGCCUAGGUGUAUGCUAAUCCCCUGAAUUCAUGCCUUCACGGCCCUUCUCUCCCUGCAGAACGAGGGGAACCACAGGUCUUACAAUGAAAGACGCCCACUUCCACUCGGGCGGGACUGUCCCUUGUGGAGGACGUCAUCUGGGCCAAGUAGUGCAAGCGGGGAGAUCAAGAAUAGGUCCCAGGUGAGACAUAAGCAAGCACUUACUUUGAUGUCAUGCUUUAUUUGUUCAUCCAUUUAUUAUUUGUUAAAUAUUGUAGUUUUAUGUCCUCUCUAUACCCAACAUGGAGUUUAAACUCACAACCCAGAGAUCAAGAUCCCCCAACCAGGCCAGCCAGGCACCCCAGUGCCAUGUUUCAUAACUCUUUGCUUCCUUGCCUAUCUCUGCAUCGAACUGGAACAUUGAGUCCUUGACGGGGAGCUUUAGUUACCUCCGAAUCCUAGAACGUUCUCACUGUAUCCCAAUCCUAGAUUGACAUUUACCAUUGAAUAGCACUUUAAAUAAAUAGUCAGUAAAAUAACUACUACAGUAAAGGAAAUUAUCAACUUUUCAUGUGUCUGGGCCCUGCUCCCUGGGCUCCCGGGGAAGCUAUGGUUUCUUUAACAUUGAUCAAGGUCCAAAUGACUCCACCACACCUCAAAGCAUGGGCUCAGUUUCUGCCCUGAGACAUGCAACACCCUUGCUUCAAUUAACAUGUAUCAAUCAAUCAAAGGGAGCCUGACCGGAAUGGUGUGGUUCAUAAGAACAUGGGACUCUUGUUCUUGGGGUAGCAAGUUCAAGCCCCAUGUUGGGUG
rnacentral:lncRNA from 1 species